rnacentral:rRNA from 1 species
AGGACGAACGCUGGCGGGCGUGCUUAAUACAUGCAAGUCGAGCGAGGCCUUGGAAUUGGAGUCCUUCGGGAUGAAGAGUCCUUGGCCUAGCGGCGGACGGGUGAGUAACGCGUGGGCAACCUACCCCAAAGUCCGGGAUAACAGUGGGAAACCGCUGCUAAUACCGGAUGGCUUUACCUGAGGGCAUCCUUGGGUAAAGAAAGGUUACGCUUUGGGAUGGGCCCGCGUCCCAUUAGCUAGUUGGUGAGGUAACGGCUCACCAAGGCGACGAUGGGUAGCCGGCCUGAGAGGGUGAACGGCCACACUGGGACUGAGACACGGCCCAGACUCCUACGGGAGGCAGCAGUGGGGAAUAUUGCACAAUGGGCGAAAGCCUGAUGCAGCGACGCCGCGUGAGGGAUGACGGCCUUCGGGUUGUAAACCUCUUUCAGCAGGGAAGAAGCGAAAGUGACGGUACCUGCAGAAGAAGCACCGGCUAACUACGUG